CCUGUGACAGUUCACCACGGCUGGGGAGCGCAGCCAUGGGCUAGAAUUCAGCUGGGAGGUGGAUUCCUUUGCCAAAGACCCCUUGCAGAUACAUUCUCAAGCAGCUUACUUGAAAGUCGACUGGAGAGUUCCGCAGAGAGGCUUGUCAUGCCGCUGGCACGGCCAGGUGAGAUGGGCGUUGCCGGGUGCACGGAAGAGGAGGUGAUGGAUCCCAGGUGCCCAGUGAACACAGUGUCGAGUCCUCAGGCAAAAACUAAUUGAAAUGCAAGGAAAAGCAGACAAAUCCAUCAUUCUGGCUGGAGACCUCAGCAUCCCUGCUCUAUACCGACACACCAUGCAAACAGAAGUCCGAACUCCGCCGACCUGGACAGUAUCACCUUGAUCUAACUAACAUCUGUAGGCUAUUCUUCGGAAGCCCACACGUACACUCCCCGAGACGGACUACAUUGGGGGUCAUAAAAUGCUGCUUGAUCUUAAGGGCAUAAUCAUACAAAAUGUUAUCUUAGGUCACAAGGACUUAAACUAAAAUCAAACGACCCCUUCCCUGCAAACAAAAAACAAAAACCAGUAACAGAAAGAUUAUUAGGAAAUCUUCAAAAACUGGAGAUUAUCGGUAAAUGCCA